AUGUCUAUGCAAUUUCAAGAUGAUACAGAUGGUAUACCUCCUUCUGAGGCUGAAAGUAGGAAUGAAAGGCCCCAAAGGAUAAAGCACCCUUCAGCCAAGAUGCUAGCCCAUCUAAUAGAUGAAAAGGAGCUCCUCCAUGUGAGGUUAGGUUCGGCAUGGGAGCGAAUUGUAACAUUGAUGGACAGAAUUGAGAGCUUGGGUAUUACAAGGGUGCCAUCCAUAUUACAGACAGACCUUGAAGAGACCUUCGGUCUCUGGAGGGGUUUGGUGUCUAAGAUAGUCCAGGUCCUCGAGCGCAUUAACGCCAAGGAUUCAGAGUUAGAAAUAGUGAGUGUCUUAGCUGACACUAAUGAGAAAGAAAAUAAGGUGAGGGCAAUUCUAGAUGCCUUGGAAUUUAGUUCUCCACCUGUUAAUCUAAGGUCUGAGCCAAAAGGAAAUCAGUCUUCCUUAUGCAGCCAUGAGACCAAUCUUUUAAAAUCACCUGCUGUGGCACUUAGUCUUAAGUCCAACCGCUCUAGCCAGGUAUCUAAACUAAGGGAGUGUGCAUCAUCUAAACAUAGCCACUCUAGCAAGUCUUCUGCUGCUGGGAGUGCCAUCUCUUCCCUAGCUGCCUUGCACAUUAAGGAGGCUGCACGUCUGGAGCUAAAGAGCAAGGUAGCGGGGGCGGAGGCUGAUGCUAAGGCAGCUGAUCUCACCCUUCCCUUUAAAGAAGAAGAGCAACGACUGCAAAUAGAACAGGCCCGUAGACAAAGCGAAAUGCAAAUAGAACAGGCUCGUAUAGAGAUGCUUAGAAUAAAGAUGGAUGCCGCAGCCAAAAGGGUAAGGGCUGAGACUUUGGCCAAAGCCCUAAUUGAGCCACUCACAGAAGAAAAUGUAAGCCAGUUACCAAUACAGGAUCCUUCUGCCAAAGUGUUUGCGCACCUUGGCAGCAUGAACAGCCAGUUUUCGGAUGAGGAACAGGGAGACUUCUCUCCUUACCCAGAGCAGGGCCCCAAAGUCACUUUUGAGUUUCCUGCAGAGCAGAGCGUCAUAGCGGGGAGCUCACCCUUGCUCGAGCUACCUGUGCCUCCUGCUAAAACCCUAGGUCAGUCAAUCAGGGCCUCAAGGCCGAGUGCUAGUUGGCCCCUACAGACAGCUGCACAGGGAACCAUCGAUUCGUCAGUGGUCGAUGUCAUCCCUCCAAGAGGCCAAAGGUUGACGCAAGGUACACGGUGGGAGUCCACUCCACAACAGCAAACUCCUCAAUUGUUCCCUUCGACGUCAGAGUCCCAGCUUGUCUCCAUCAUCAGAAGCCCCAGAAGAGAUCUUAAGGACAAGGGUGUCGAAAAGUUUUCGGACAAGCCUGAGGAAUUUCUUCUCUGGAAGGCCACCUUCCAGAGAGCAAUCAGAGACUUAAAGUUAUUGCCUGAGGAAGAACUGACUCUUCUGGCUGCAUGGUUGGGCCCAGCCUCAUCCUCACAAGUUAAGAAGAUCUACGCAGCCCACGUAGCCGAUCCCGACAAAGCCCUGGAAAAGGCCUGGGCCAGGUUGCAGCAGAGGUAUGGGGCCAGCACAGAGAUUGAAGCAUCUCUUAUGGACAAGCUCCAAAGGUUCCCAGCUUUAAAACUCAAAGACUUCAAACUCUUGUGGGACCUUAGCGAUCUCCUUGCGGAAUUAGAGUCGGCCAAGGAGAAUCCAGAACUGCCCGGUUUGAAGUGCCUCGAUCAGCACCUGUCCCAGAGGCAGAUCUUGACCAAGCUGCCCUUCACUUUGCAAGAACGCUGGGGACAGGAGGUCUUCAACUACAAGGAGGCCCACUCCCAGGCAUACCCUCCAUUUUCUCAUUUGGUCCAGUUCAUCACCAGGGCAGCCAGAGAAAGGAAUGAUCCACAGACGGGCCUCCCCACCUUAUACCAAGGGACCCAGCCAGAGAAGGCACCUAAAGUGGACAAGAAACCAUCUAGAGAGGCCAAUAGACCUGUCAGCGUAAAGGCAGUCGAAACUCAACACAAGACUGAUGAACCCAGGUCGGAGGUAAAAGAGUUGCUUUGCCCUAUUCACCAAAAGCCUCACAGCUUGGCCAACUGCAGGGAGUUUAGUAGAAAGACAUACAAAGAAAGGCAACAGCUAGUUCAAAAGCAGGGAAUCUGCUUUAGAUGCUGCGGAGCAACUCCACACUUUGCAUCCAACUGCAAAGAAAACAUCAAGUGUGAGAAAUGCAACAGCCUCAAGCAUUGCACCGCAAUGCACAACUCCAAUAUCAUCUCCCACCCCAAAGAGAACGCUUCACCAAAAGAAAAGUCAGCAGUCGAAGACACCGACAAGCCAGCCGCACCAGAGAUGCAGGUGGAAGUUUCAGCAGUCGCCUGUACAGAGCUGUGUUCUGACUCGCACCAGUACAGAGUUUGUCAUCCUAUCUGCCUAGCGGAUGUAUAUCCAGCCAAGAGCCCUUGGCUUAGAAAGAGACUCUAUGUGGCCCUGGAUUCACAGAGCGACGCCUCCCUGGCUACUCCAGAGUUCUUCCGCAUGUUUGACCUUAAAACCAAGAUGGUCGACUACACUAUGACUACGUGUGCAGGAAAAAAGAAGUUGCAGGGUCGCAUAGCAUCUGGCUUUGUUGUCUCCUCUUGCGACCAGAAGAGACAGUUCAAGUUGCCAGACCUGAUUGAGUGUUCCUCCAUCCCUCGGAACAAAAAACAAAUUGUAACUAGAGAAGUUGUGGAGGCUCAUCCACAUUUGCGACGGUUAAAGAAUGCUAUACCAGCCUUUCGGCCAGAUGUGGACAUUGCCCUUUUGCUUGGCUCGGACUGCCCGAGCUUGUUCUGUGUGAACGACCAAGUUAAAGGACCUCCAGGUGCACCUAUCGCACAACAAUUGCCAUUAGGCUGGACAGUCAUAGGCCCAGUGUGCAUAAACAAGAUGCACCCACCAUCGUCGUUGGACUCCAAUCAAGCACAGGUGCUUAAAGGUGGACGUCCUACACUUGUGCGCAGUUGCCUAAGUCAUAUCUCAGUCUACUGCCAAGCAAUAACACCAGAGUAUUCUUCCAUCUUUGAGGUCUCCGAAAGGGAUGAAACUACAGCGCUUUCCAAAGAUGAACAGAGGUUUUUAGAGAUCAUGAACUCUCAAGUUUCCCGGAGUCCCGAGGGAAAUUGGAUAGCCCCUCUGCCUUUUAAAGCAGAAAAACCCACUUUGCCAAACAAUAGGCAUGUGACAGAAAAAAGACUCUGGUCACUGAAGAAGAUAGGAUGGGAUCAAGAGCUGACCCCAUCGGUGAAAGCAGCUUGGGCAAAUUGGACUUCUCAAGCUGAAGGACUGGAAACCAUCACAGUUCCCAGACAAUUUGUUCCCUGCAAGGCGAUGAUAGAACCCACCACAGAACUUCACAUCUUCUGUGACGCAUCUGAGCAAGCUAUAGCAGCUGUGGCAUACAUGCGACAAAGGGACAGAGAUUUUUGUCACGCAGGAUUCAUCAUGGCAAAGGCUAAAAUAGCUCCUAUGGGAACUUCAAUACCCCGGCUGGAAUUGUGUGCAGCAGUUCUUGCUGUCCAGCUCUGGCGCAUCAUCCAGCAAGAGAUAGGAGACUUGUUUCAAGAUGUCCAUUUCCACACGGACAGUACAGUUGUGCUUGGUUACAUCAACAACACAACCAAAAGAUUCAAGGUGUAUGUGGCUAAUAGAAUCAACAACAUUCUAUCCAGUUCUACGCCUAGCCAGUGGCACCAUGUCGCCACCAGCAACAACCCAGCUGACAUCGCUUCCAGAGGAGCUUCAGCUCAACGAGUGUCAAGUUCAAGUUGGCUGACAGGCCCCAGAUGCUUAACCGAAGUCAAUUUUCCAUCAGCCUUUUCUCCCACCGAUAAUACAGAAUUGCCCGAGUCUGUUCCAGAGGUGAAAGUUUGCAAGAUGACCACAGAAAUCAAGAUGGGCCAAAGAUCUUGCCUGGAACCACACCGUUUUGAACGUUUUUCGGAGUGGCACAGUCUUCUUAGAGCAGUUGCUAGGCUUAUACAUCGCUUAGUCUGCAAAGAUAGUCAGCCUUUGCAAGUUCAGGACAUGUUGAAGGCUAAGGGAGUAAUAUUCAGGUCAGUUCAGAGGCAUGAGUUUAGUCUAGAAAUAGCCAGGUUGUUCUAG
ensembl:lncRNA